AUUGUGUCAGCAGCCGCGCGGUAAUACGUAGGUCUCAAGCGUUAUCCGGAUUUACUGGGCGUAAAGAGUCUGUAGCUGGUUAUACAAGUCUAUUUUUAAAGACCUUGGCUCAACCAAGGGAAGGGAAUGGAUACUGUAUAUCUGGAGGUUUUUAGGGGUUAGUAGAAUUCCCGGUGGAGGGGUGAAAUCCGUUGAUAUUGGGAGGAAUGCCGAAAGCGAAAGCAGCUAACUAUAAUUAUCCUGACAGUGAGAGACGAAAGCAUGGGUAGCAAACGGGAUUAGAUACCCCGGUAGUCCAUGUCGUAAACUAUGCUUGCUAAGUGUCUUAAGAGACUUGAUCUCUGGGGUACUGUAACCUAACGGGUUAAGCAAGCCGCCUGGGUAGUACAGUCGCAAGACUGAAACUCAAAGGAAUAGGCGGGGGAACACACAAGCAGUGGAUGAUCUAGAUUAAUUGGACAAUAAGCCAAAAACCUUACCUAGGUUUGACAUGUACUUUGUCAUCGGGGAAACUCGGUUAGCUAUAGCAAUAUAGCGGGGUACACAGGUGGUGCAUGGUCGUCGUCAGCUCGUGCCGCAAGGUAUCUAGUUAAGUCUAGAAACGAGCGCAACCCUCAUCUCUAGUUACAGUGUCUAGAGAAACUGCCUUCGCAAGAAGGAGGAAGGAGAGGAUGACGUCAGAUCCUCAUGCCCCUUAUGCCUAGGGCAUCAUAGAUCAUACAAUGGGAUGUAACAAUGAGAAGCGAAGCCGUGAGGUAGAGCAAAACUCCAAACCAUCCCCAAGUUCGGAUUGUAGGCUGCAACUCGCCUACAUGAAGUCGGAAUUGCUAGUAAUGGUGAAUCAGCAUUGUCACCGUGAAUAUGUCCCUGUUCCUUGCACACACCGCCCAAUCUGCGAUGCGCCUGAAUGCGUAUUUUCUCUACGCAUCUUGUGCCGUAUUCCACACCCGCAAUUGAUGCACUCUCCGAUCAAUCUGCCUGAACUGCCGCAAGGUUAAGUCAGGCCGAAACACCUCUGGCUCGAAACACCCGU
rnacentral:rRNA from 1 species